UACGUAGGUGGCAAGCGUUGUCCGGAAUUACUGGGUGUAAAGGUCGUGUAGGCGGGGAGACAAGUCAGAUGUGAAAUACCGUGGCUUAACUGCGGGGGUGCAUCUGAAACUGUUUCUCUUGAGUGUCGGAGAGGAAAGUGGAAUUCCCAGUGUAGCGGUGAAAUGCGUAGAGAUUGGGAGGAACACCAGUGGCGAAGGCGGCUUUCUGGACGGCAACUGACGUUGAGGCUCGAAAGCGUGGGGAGCAAACAGGAUUAGAUACCCUGGUAGUCCCU
rnacentral:rRNA from 1 species